rnacentral:rRNA from 1 species
GACGAACGCUGGCGGCGUGCUUAACACAUGCAAGUCGAACGGAAAGGCCCUGCUUUUGUGGGGUGCUCGAGUGGCGAACGGGUGAGUAACACGUGAGUAACCUGCCCUUGACUUUGGGAUAACUUCAGGAAACUGGGGCUAAUACCGGAUAGGAGCUCCUGCUGCAUGGUGGGGGUUGGAAAGUUUCGGCGGUUGGGGAUGGACUCGCGGCUUAUGAGCUUGUUGGUGGGGUAGUGGCUUACCAAGGCUUUGAAGGGUAGCCGGCCUGAGAGGGUGACCGGCCACAUUGGGACUGAGAUACGGCCCAGACUCCUACGGGGGGCAGCAGUGGGGAAUAUUGCACAAUGGGCGGAAGCCUGAUGCAGCAACGCCGCGUGCGGGAUGACGGCCUUCGGGUUGUAAACCGCUUUCGCCUGUGACGAAGCGUGAGUGACGGUAAUGGGUAAAGAAGCACCGGCUAACUACGUG